GAGGGUAUAGCUCAAAUGGUAGAGCAUAUGUGUAGCAAGCUUGAGGUCCUGGGUUCAAUCUCUGGUACCUCCU
rnacentral:tRNA from 1 species